GGGCAUGGGGAGGUGUGGAGUCAGCAUAGGGCUGGGAGGCCCCGCGCUGACCUGUCUUCUCCGCAG
ensembl:miRNA